AGUUUUUGGGUUUUUUUUUUUCUUAAACGCUAUCACUUUUUAUCUCUAAAUUUACAAUACAACUUUAUAGAGCAUGCCGUCUGUUUUGUUUUAACUUUUCAAAAUUAAUAAUAGGGAAAUUGUUUUUAUCAAUGUUUUUAGUUUUUUUUUCUUCACUUAAACACUAUCACUUUUCUUUCUAAACUUACAAUAAAACUUUGUAGAGCAUGCCGUCUCCUGUUGAUUCUCCGUAUUCCUUUUUGCUUCCGCUACUAAGGGGGUGUCUUCAAUCUUUUGAGCCGGCUGGAUGUCGUUGACUCUCUCGUACUCCACAAUUUUUUCCCACAGCUUUUGGGGAUUUAGUGUUGAUUUACAGCCUUUAUAGGGUGUCUUCUUCAACAGGUUAUUGAUGUUUUUAGUUACCAGUACGCAGCUUUAUGAGGUGCCUUCUUCCACAGGUUUUGAUGUUUUUAGUUAGCAGUUUGCAGCUUAUGAGGUGCCUUUAUUAAUUUGCAGCCGUUUGGGUGCUUUAAUUUUUAGUUGACAGUUUGCAGCUUCAUGAGGUGCCUUUAUUAACUUUGCAGCCGUUUGGGUGCUUUUAAUUUUUCGUUGGGCGCCAAUUAAACAUAACGUUCUUUUUCGAGUGACAAAAUGGGACUAACUUUAUUUUUCCUUUAUUCUUAAAAUUAAGUUUUGUUGGACAAUGUAUUUAGUGCAACGUUAGCACUUUUGAUUUUAUUAUUUCUUAGAGUUAGGUUUCUUAAAAUGUAAGCAUUUAUCUGUUGUUUAUACGAAUGAAUGACAUGAAUGCAUUGUAAGCAUUUUGCAAGCAUAUUUAAGUGCCAUCGAACUUGCACGCGCAACAGAAACAGAAAUAAAGAAGUUAACGUUAACUUAUAUUCUUGA